AACAAGCCCUAGCAUGAACCCUGGAUCAUCGACAGCUAAAGGAUCAGAGGGUUCCAAAGCUGAUAACAAGAAGAAAACUAAUCCCCUUCUGGUUAAAAAGCGGGAAGCUGCCGACUUUUUGAAACGAAUCAAGAAGAGUUCUCCUGCAAAAGGGACAUUGCUCGAUACAUUAAAGAAUUUGCCAGAAAAUAGUAAUUCAAGUAGCAAAAGAGAAACUAGAGAACAACCAAAGAAGAAAGUGGUGGAUGAACGGAAAGAAUCAACAAGAGGACGUCAGAAGGGCAGAGGCGGUGGAAAACGGGCAAAGGAGGAGGAAGCUAGUCAGUCAAAGCGGAAUGUGGGCAGGCCACCAAAGAGGGGUAGAGAUGACG
rnacentral:lncRNA from 1 species